GCUGAAGGAGGAGCUUGCUUCUCUGGAUGAGUUGCGAACGGGUGAGUAACGCGUAGGUAACCUGCCUGGUAGCGGGGGAUAACUAUUGGAAACGAUAGCUAAUACCGCAUAAGAGUAGAUGUUGCAUGACAUUUGCUUAAAAGGUGCACUUGCAUCACUACCAGAUGGACCUGCGUUGUAUUAGCUAGUUGGUGGGGUAACGGCUCACCAAGGCGACGAUACAUAGCCGACCUGAGAGGGUGAUCGGCCACACUGGGACUGAGACACGGCCCAGACUCCUACGGGAGGCAGCAGUAGGGAAUCUUCGGCAAUGGACGGAAGUCUGACCGAGCAACGCCGCGUGAGUGAAGAAGGUUUUCGGAUCGUAAAGCUCUGUUGUAAGAGAAGAACGAGUGUGAGAGUGGAAAGUUCACACUGUGACGGUAUCUUACCAGAAAGGGACGGCUAACUACGUGCCAGCAGCCGCGGUAAUACGUAGGUCCCGAGCGUUGUCCGGAUUUAUUGGGCGUAAAGCGAGCGCAGGCGGUUAGAUAAGUCUGAAGUUAAAGGCUGUGGCUU
rnacentral:rRNA from 1 species